rnacentral:rRNA from 1 species
AGCGAACGCUGGCGGCAGGCCUAACACAUGCAAGUCGAACGAACCUUUCGGGGUUAGUGGCGGACGGGUGAGUAACACGUGGGAACGUGCCUUUAGGUUCGGAAUAUCUCAGGGAAACUUGUGCUAAUACCGAAUGUGCCCUUCGGGGGAAAGAUUAAUCGCCUUUAGAGCGGCCCGCGUCUGAUUAGCUAGUUGGUUGAGGUAAUGGCUCACCAAGGCGACGAUCAGUAGCUGGUCUGAGAGGAUGAUCAGCCACAUUGGGACUGAGACACGGCCCAAACUCCUACGGGAGGCAGCAGUGGGGAAUCUUGCGCAAUGGGCGAAAGCCUGACGCAGCCAUGCCGCGUGAAUGAUGAAGGUCUUAGGAUUGUAAAAUUCUUUCAACGGGGACGAUAAUGACGGUACCCGGAGAAGAAGCCCCGGCUAACUUCGUG